rnacentral:rRNA from 1 species
UCAACGCGGGAAAUCUUACCGGGUCCGGACACACUGAGGAUUGACAGGCAAAAGAUACAAGUUUUCUUUGUGAGAGCUUGCAUUGUAAAAUAUGCGAGUCCUUUCAUGAUUAUGUGAUAGGUGGUGCAUGGCCGUUCUUAGUUCGUGGAGUGAUCUGUCUGCUUAAUUGCGUUUCACAACGAUUUAAAAUGCUAUGUUUUCUGUGUUUGCUGUUCGGUUUUAGCUCUUACGGGAGUUUUUAACUUUGAACGCACACGGCGUAGCUUAAAACAAUCGGAAAGCAACGAACGUGACCGCAACCUCUUGUUGCCUUUAUUUUUAAAAGCGUAGAAAAUUUUAUAUUUUCUUACGCUUGAAAAAGGCUUUAAAACUAGAGGGACCGCUGUUCUAUUCUCUUAAACCAGAGGAAGAUUGCGGCAAUAACAGGUC